AUAUAUAUAUAUAUUGAGAAGAAUGGAAGCGGGAUUUCAUCAUUAUAUCAUCAUCUUGAAUUUGUAAUCAUUAGCUGACAGGAAAAUAGGAACAUAAUCUUUAGUCCUAAAAUAAUAAAAUGAAGGAAUCUUUUUUAAUAAUAAUAAUGAGUUCAAUUUCUCAUUAUGUUGACUUUUUUACUCUGCCUGCUAAAAUGCAUAGGUUACAUGGGUUGAGCAUGCA
rnacentral:misc_RNA from 1 species